UACAGAGGUGGCAAGCGUUGUUCGGAAUUACUGGGCGUAAAGGGCGCGUAGGCGGUCCUACAAGUCCCGCGUGAAAGCCCCCGGCUCAACUGGGGAACUGCGCGGGAAACUGUAGGGCUUGAGUUCGGGAGAGGGAAGCGGAAUUCCGGGUGUAGCGGUGAAAUGCGUAGAUAUCCGGAGGAACACCGGUGGCGAAGGCGGCUUCCUGGACCGACACUGACGCUGAGGCGCGUAAGCUAGGGGAGCAAACGGG
rnacentral:rRNA from 1 species